rnacentral:SRP_RNA from 1 species
GCUAGGUGUGGUGGUGUAUGCCUGUAGUCCCAGCUACUUGGGAGGCUGAGGCAGGAGGAUUGCAUGAGUCCAGGAGUUCUGGGCUUUAGUGUGCUGUGCUGAUUGGGUGUCUGCACUAAGUUUAGCAUCAAUGUUAUGAUCUCCUGGGAAUGGGGGACCAUAGAUUACCUAAGGAGGGGUAAAUCAGCCCAGGUUAGAAAGUAAACUCAAUGUAGCAAGCAGGGCUGGGCUACAACACCUCAAGGCUCUUCCCAAGAGACAUAUCUCUUCUAGCAAGGUUCCGCCUCC